rnacentral:rRNA from 1 species
AGAGUUUGAUCCUGGCUCAGAUUGAACGCUGGCGGCAUGCCUUACACAUGCAAGUCGAACGGCAGCACGGGUGCUUGCACCUGGUGGCGAGUGGCGAACGGGUGAGUAAUAUAUCGGAACGUACCUUAUCGUGGGGGAUAACGCAGCGAAAGCUGCGCUAAUACCGCAUACGCCCUGAGGGGGAAAGCGGGGGACCGUAAGGCCUCGCGCGAUUAGAGCGGCCGAUAUCUGAUUAGCUUGUUGGUGGGGUAAAAGCCCACCAAGGCGACGAUCAGUAGCUGGUCUGAGAGGACGAUCAGCCACACUGGGACUGAGACACGGCCCAGACUCCUACGGGAGGCAGCAGUGGGGAAUUUUGGACAAUGGGGGCAACCCUGAUCCAGCAAUGCCGCGUGAGUGAAGAAGGCCUUCGGGUUGUAAAGCUCUUUUGUCAGGGAAGAAACAGCAGCUCUAACACAGUCUGCGAAUGACGGUACCUGAAGAAUAAGCACCGGCUAACUACGUGCCAGCAGCCGCGGUAAUACGUAGGGUGCAAGCGUUAAUCGGAAUUACUGGGCGUAAAGCGUGCGCAGGC